rnacentral:rRNA from 1 species
AUUGAACGCUGGCGGCAGGCCUAACACAUGCAAGUCGAACGAGUGGCAGACGGGUGAGUAAUGUCUGGGAAACUGCCCGAUGGCGGGGGUUAACUACUGGAAACGGUAGCUAAUACCGCAUACCAUCGGAUGAUCCCCACUGGGAUUAGCUAGUGGGUGGGGUAAAGGCGCACUUAGGCGACGAUCCCUAGCUGGUCUGAGAGGAUGACGAGCCAGACUGGAACUGUGACACGGUCCAGACGCCUCCGGGAGGCAGCAGUGGGGAAUAUUGCACAAUGGGCGCAAGCCUGAUGCAGCAAGGCCGCGUGGAUGAAGAAGGCCUUGGGGUUGUAAAGUACUUUCAGCGAGGAGGCGUUACUCGCAGAAGAAGCACCGGCUAACUCCGUGCCAGCCGCCGCGGUAAUAC